AGUGAACGCUGGCGGUAGGCCUAACACAUGCAAGUCGAACGGCAGCACAGUAAGAGCUUGCUCUUACGGGUGGCGAGUGGCGGACGGGUGAGGAAUACAUCGGAAUCUACUUUUUCGUGGGGGAUAACGUAGGGAAACUUACGCUAAUACCGCAUACGACCUACGGGUGAAAGCAGGGGAGCUUCGGACCUUGCGCGACUGAAUUAGCCGAAGCCGGAUUAGCUAGUUGGCGGGGUAACGGCCCACCAAGGCGACGAUCCGUAGCAGGUCUGAGAGGAUGAUCAGCCACACUGGAACUGAGACACGGUCCAGACUCCUACGGGAGGCAGCAGUGGGGAAUCUUGGACAAUGGGCGCAAGCCUGAUCCAGCCAUACCGCGUGGGUGAAGAAGGCCUUCGGGUUGUAAAGCCCUUUUGUUGGGAAAGAAAAGCAGCAGGUUAAUACCCCGCUAUUCUGACGGUACCCAAAGAAUAAGCACCGGCUAACUUCGUG
rnacentral:rRNA from 1 species